ACUCCUACGGGAGGCAGCAGUGAGGAAUAUUGGUCAAAUGGGAAGGGGCAAACUCUGAACCAGCCAUCCCGCGUGUAGGAAGACGGCCUUAUGGGUUGUAAACUACUUUUAUACAGGAAGAAACGUACCCUCGUGAGGGUGCCUGACGGUACUGUAGGAAUAAGCACCGGCUAACUCCGUGCCAGCAGCCGCGGUAAUACGGAGGGUGCGAGCGUUAUCCGGAUUUAUUGGGUUUAAAGGUCCGUAGGCGGAUUAAUAAGUCAGUGGUGAAAUCCCAUCGCUUAACGAUGGAACUGCCAUUGAUACUGUUAGUCUUGAAUGAGGGUGCAGUGGUUGGAAUGUGUAGUGUAGCGGUGAAAUGCAUAGAUAUUACACAGAACACCGAUUGCGAAGGCAGAUCACUAACCCUAAAUUGACGCUGAGGGACGAAAGCGUGGGGGAGCGAACAGGAUUAGAUACCCUGUAGACUGUC
rnacentral:rRNA from 1 species